GAUGAACGCUGGCGGCGUGCCUAAUACAUGCAAGUCGAGCGAACAGACGAGGAGCUUGCUCCUCUGACGUUAGCGGCGGACGGGUGAGUAACACGUGGAUAACCUACCUAUAAGACUGGGAUAACUUCGGGAAACCGGAGCUAAUACCGGAUAAUAUAUUGAACCGCAUGGUUCAAUAUUGAAAGACGGUUUUGCUGUCACUUAUAGAUGGACCCGCGCCGCAUUAGCUAGUUGGUAAGGUAACGGCUUACCAAGGCAACGAUGCGUAGCCGACCUGAGAGGGUGAUCGGCCACACUGGAACUGAGACACGGUCCAGACUCCUACGGGAGGCAGCAGUAGGGAAUCUUCCGCAAUGGGCGAAAGCCUGACGGAGCAACGCCGCGUGAGUGAUGAAGGUCUUCGGAUCGUAAAACGCUGUUAUUAGGGAAGAACAAAUGUGUAAGUAACUAUGCACGUCUUGACGGUACCUAAUCAGAAAGCCACGGCUAACUACGU
rnacentral:rRNA from 1 species